rnacentral:rRNA from 1 species
UACGUAGGGGGCUAGCGUUGUCCGGAAUCAUUGGGCGUAAAGAGCGUGUAGGCGGUCCGGUAAGUCCGCUGUGAAAGUCGGGGGCUCAACCCUCGAAUGCCGGUGGAUACUGUCGGGCUAGAGUGCGGAAGAGGCGAGUGGAAUUCCUGGUGUAGCGGUGAAAUGCGCAGAUAUCGGGAGGAACACCGGUGGCGAAGGCGGUUCUCUGGGCCUGACCUGACGCUGAGGAGCGAAAGCGUGGGGAGCGAACAGG